UUUCGCAAUGCCCGAAAGGGUGACGAAGCGACGCCGCGUGUGGGAAGAAGGCCUUCGGGUUGUAAACCACUGUCGGGAGUUAGGAAAUGCAGGUGCGUUAAUAGCGCACUUGCUUGACUAAGGCUCCAGAGGAAGCCACGGCUAACUCUGUGCCAGCAGCCGCGGUAAUACAGAGGCGGCAAGCGUUGUUCGGAAUUAUUGGGCGUAAAGAGCACGUAGGCGGCCUUGCAAGUCAGUUGUGAAAGCCUUCCGCUUAACGGAAGAACGGCAUCUGAUACUACAGGGCUUGAGUACGGGAGGGGAGAGUGGAACUUCUGGUGGAGCGGUGAAAUGCGUAGAUAUCAGAAGGAACGCCGGCGGCGAAAGCGACUCUCUGGUCCGAAACUGACGCUGAGUGUGCGAAAGCUAGGGGAGCAAACGGGAUUAGAUACCCCGGUAGCCCUAGCCGUAAACGAUGGGCACUAAGUAGAGGGGUUUU
rnacentral:rRNA from 1 species